rnacentral:rRNA from 1 species
ACGGAGGGUGCAAGCGUUGUUCGGAAUCACUGGGCGUAAAGGGCGCGCAGGCGGUUUGGUAAGUUAGAUGUGAAAGCCCACGGCUUAACCGUGGAAGUGCAUUUGAAACUGCCAGACUUGAGUAUCAGAGGGGAAAGUGGAAUUCCCGGUGUAGAGGUUAAAUUCUUAGAUAUCGGGAGGAAUACCAGUGGCGAAGGCGACUUUCAGGCUGAAUACUGACACUGAUGCGCGAAAGCUUGUGGAUCAAACAU